rnacentral:rRNA from 1 species
GAUGAACGCUGGCGGCGUGCCUAAUACAUGCAAGUCGAGCGAACAGACGAGGAGCUUGCUCCUCUGACGUUAGCGGCGGACGGGUGAGUAACACGUGGAUAACCUACCUAUAAGACUGGGAUAACUUCGGGAAACCGGAGCUAAUACCGGAUAAUAUAUUGAACCGCAUGGUUCAAUAGUGAAGGACGGUUUUGCUGUCACUUAUAGAUGGAUCCGCGCCGCAUUAGCUAGUUGGUAAGGUAACGGCUUACCAAGGCGACGAUGCGUAGCCGACCUGAGAGGGUGAUCGGCCACACUGGAACUGAGACACGGUCCAGACUCCUACGGGAGGCAGCAGUAGGGAAUCUGCCGCAAUGGGCGAAAGCCUGACGGAGCAACGCCGCGUGAGUGAUGAAGGUCUUCGGAUCGUAAAACUCUGUUAUUAGGGAAGAACAAAUGUGUAAGUAACUAUGCACGUCUUGACGGUACCUAAUCAGAAAGCCACGGCUAACUACGUG